rnacentral:rRNA from 1 species
ACGGGAGGCAGCAGUGGGGAAUAUUGCACAAUGGGCGAAAGCCUGAUGCAGCGACGCCGCGUGAGUGAAGAAGUUAUUCGUAACGUAAAGCUCUAUCAGCAGGGAAGAAAAUGACGGUACCUGACUAAGAAGCCCCGGCUAACUACGUGCCAGCAGCCGCGGUAAUACGUAGGGGGCAAGCGUUAUCCGGAUUUACUGGGUGUAAAGGGAGCGUAGACGGCAAAGCAAGUCUGAAGUGAAAUCCCGGGGCUCAACCCUGGAACUGCUUUGGAAACUGUUUAGCUAGAGUGCAGGAGAGGUAAGUGGAAUUCCUGGUGUAGCGGUGAAAUGCGUAGAUAUCAGGAGGAACACCGGUGGCGAAGGCGGUUUACUGGACGAUACCUGACGCUGAGACACGAAAGCGUGGGGAGCAAACAGGAUUAGAUACCCUGGUA